rnacentral:rRNA from 1 species
UACGUAGGGUGCGAGCGUUAAUCGGAAUUACUGGGCGUAAAGCGUGCGCAGGCGGUUUUGUAAGCCAGAUGUGAAAGCCCCGGGCUUAACCUGGGAAUGGCAUUUGGGACUGCAAGGCUUGAGUGCGGCAGAGGAGACUGGAAUUCCUGGUGUAGCAGUGAAAUGCGUAGAUAUCAGGAGGAAUACCGAUGGCGAAGGCA